GAAAGCCAGUCAUCCAGUCGUGUCACUUAUUUAAACUUAAGAUGAGUUCAGUGAUUUAAAGGAUCCUGACAACAUGCAUCUAAGGUUACAGAGAGUGAAAACCUGAGGUUGUCUUGAUGCAUCAUCCAGGUGAGGAAAUCCCAAAAAGUGCUGAAACGUUUCUCCCACUAAAAAUCCUAAAUCCAGAUGAACACAAUCAACAUUUUGGGAAAACCCAAGCUACAAUCACCUACGAUGUAAGUCACACACCAACAGUGAAGUUAGCGUAGUAGUGUAGAAACCCAAUGCCUUCACUGUCUGCAGAGAUGUUCCCUGAUGAGAAGGUCAGUUAAGUUCUUCUACACCAGACUUCGUGAACAAAUUCUCUUUGGAUACAGCAUCAUGCAGAAACUGUCUAUAAUGUUAUUAAAUGCUGCACAGGAUAAGGAUUUGCCUGUAUGGAAAAAUGUUAUAUAGAAUAAAAGAAUAUAACCACUAAACAGCUUUAGCUGCCUGACUUCAGAAGAAGUCAUGCAAAGGAAACAUGCCAACACUGUUUCAGCACACUGUGUUCUCCGUCUGUUCUGCAGCAGGUUUUCCUUAUCUUUAAAUCUGCUUAUCUUUGUUACGCUUCAGGUCCAGGACAAAUAAAAGGCCUAAUAAGGAAGGUCAGAUAAAGUUUUAGCCUCCUGAUGCCAGAGAAAAGAUUUCUGGCCUGAGCAGAAUUAGGACUUCACUUUGUUGUUCCUGCAGUCCCAGCAGUAAUCGAUGUGCAAGCUGGCCUUGUCAGCAUGACCAGACCUACUUCACUCAUACUAAAUAUUGAUUUUAUGUGUCAAAUUGUGUGUAAGAGGUUGAACUGAGGGCCAGUGCCCCAUUUUUUUAAUCAUGAAAAAAAGGUUUCUUUUAGGUAAAUCUUGUUUUUGUAGGUCAAUGAAAUCCCUCAUUAUGUCGGGAUGCACACAGACAAUGCCCCACAUUUUGAUUGGCUCUAUAAGACAGUUUUCUAAAGUCUUUCUUUUACUGAAUGACUGUGAAAGCAGCAUAUACCCGUGCAGGUUAACCUGUCACCACCUUUUGGAGACAUGGAAAGAUGGAAAGGAGAACAUGCAAGGAGCAGAGGUAGUGAAGGAUGAGAUAUAUCGGGUCAGCCAUGCAAAACAGCAGACAGUGCACAAGAGAGGUGAAGAAGAAAGUGUAAGCAGGGUAGAGACGAGUGUUAGGAGUGAUUUUUGUGACCUAAGGUAGCAAAGAGAAGGUUUACAAGGCGGAAAAGGGGAAGUCCACAGAGAAGAUUCAUGGAUACAGUAAAGGAGGACAUGCAGAGGGCUGGUGUGACAUGCUAGGUCUGCUGUGUUGAACCCUAGAAGGAGCAGCCAUCCACACAGACAUACUCUUUGUCCCACAUUUAAUGUACUGGGAACUUGUCACACUGCGAGGUCUACGAAAGUGAACACCACAGAUAGUGCUUGUAAAGAAGACUCACACCUGCGCCUGUGUGUUUUAAUAUGAAGGUUUCCAAAGUCCUAAAUGUGUAAAUUUCAAGAUUAGCCAAGCCAUGCUAAGAUGUCCAAAUGUUUUAUGUGACACUCCAUCUGAUAUCAGAUAAAACAUCAGAUAAAAAGCUCUUCUGUCGAGAUGGAAAAUUACUGAGGCGAGAUAGAGAAGCUGAGCUCUGAACCCUACUCACACAAUUAAAGCUCCAGGUUGCAAAAUCAGGUAAAUGUUGAACUCAGCAAAACACAGAAACACAUAAAAGGUGGCUGAACUAAAACUUCAGCCACCAACUUCAGGUAAAAUUUGUGGAACAUGUAAAUUGUUAUUUCAGCUGCUGUCUGUGACCUGCAAAUCCAUUCCUCCGUCCUCCACGAGGGUCAGUGGCGUGACUGAGAACCAUCUGGCCUCACCGACACUUAAAUGUGGAUUUUAUGGUGUGACAUGUUGCGAGCAGUCAUGUGAAGUUGUUCAGGAAAAUGACCAAGUGUAAUCGGAAUAAAAAGCAUGAAAGAUUUUGCA